rnacentral:rRNA from 1 species
AUUGAACGCUGGCGGCAUGCCUUACACAUGCAAGUCGAACGGCAGCAUGGGUGCUUGCACCUGAUGGCGAGUGGCGAACGGGUGAGUAAUGCAUCGGAACGUACCCGGAAGUGGGGGAUAACGUAGCGAAAGUUACGCUAAUACCGCAUAUUCUGUGAGCAGGAAAGCGGGGGAUCGCAAGACCUCGCGCUUCCGGAGCGGCCGAUGUCGGAUUAGCUAGUUGGCGGGGUAAAGGCCCACCAAGGCAACGAUCCGUAGCGGGUCUGAGAGGAUGAUCCGCCACACUGGGACUGAGACACGGCCCAGACUCCUACGGGAGGCAGCAGUGGGGAAUUUUGGACAAUGGGGGCAACCCUGAUCCAGCCAUGCCGCGUGAGUGAAGAAGGCCUUUGGGUUGUAAAGCUCUUUCGGCCGGGAAGAAAUCGCACAGGUUAAUACCUUGUGUGGAUGACGGUACCGGAAUAAGAAGCACCGGCUAACUACGUGCCAGCAGCCGCGGUAACAC